rnacentral:tRNA from 1 species
GCAGUGGUAGUUCAGCGGUAGAAUUCUCAUUUUCCAUGCAGGAGACCUGGGUUCAAUUCCUGGCCAAUACA